AGAGUUUGAUCCUGGCUCAGAUUGAACGCUGGCGGCAUGCUUUACACAUGCAAGUCGGACGGCAGCACGGGGAAGCUUGCUUCUCGGGUGGCGAGUGGCGAACGGGUGAGUAACAUAUCGGAACGUACCGGGUAGCGGGGGAUAACUGAUCGAAAGAUCAGCUAAUACCGCAUACGUCUUGAGAGGGAAAGCAGGGGACCUUCGGGCCUUGCGCUAUCCGAGCGGCCGAUAUCUGAUUAGCUGGUUGGCGGGGUAAAGGCCCACCAAGGCGACGAUCAGUAGCGGGUCUGAGAGGAUGAUCCGCCACACUGGGACUGAGACACGGCCCAGACUCCUACGGGAGGCAGCAGUGGGGAAUUUUGGACAAUGGGCGCAAGCCUGAUCCAGCCAUGCCGCGUGUCUGAAGAAGGCCUUCGGGUUGUAAAGGACUUUUGUCAGGGAAGAAAAGGCCGUUGCCAAUAUCGGCGGCCGAUGACGGUACCUGAAGAAUAAGCACCGGCUAACUACGUGCCAGCAGCCGCGGUAAUACGUAGGGUGCGAGCGUUAAUCGGAAUUACUGGGCGUAAAGCGGGCGCAGACGGUUACUUAAGCAGGAUGUGAAAUCCCCGGGCUCAACCCGGGAACUGCGUUCUGAACUGGGUGACUCGAGUGUGUCAGAGGGAGGUGGAAUUCCACGUGUAGCAGUGAAAUGCGUAGAGAUGUGGAGGAAUACCGAUGGCGAAGGCAGCCUCCUGGGAUAACACUGACGUUCAUGUCCGAAAGCGUGGGUAGCAAACAGGAUUAGAUACCCUGGUAGUCCACGCCCUAAACGAUGUCAAUUAGCUGUUGGGCAACUUGAUUGCUUGGUAGCGUAGCUAACGCGUGAAAUUGACCGCCUGGGGAGUACGGUCGCAAGAUUAAAACUCAAAGGAAUUGACGGGGACCCGCACAAGCGGUGGAUGAUGUGGAUUAAUUCGAUGCAACGCGAAGAACCUUACCUGGUUUUGACAUGUGCGGAAUCCUCCGGAGACGGAGGAGUGCCUUCGGGAGCCGUAACACAGGUGCUGCAUGGCUGUCGUCAGCUCGUGUCGUGAGAUGUUGGGUUAAGUCCCGCAACGAGCGCAACCCUUGUCAUUAGUUGCCAUCAUUCGGUUGGGCACUCUAAUGAGACUGCCGGUGACAAGCCGGAGGAAGGUGGGGAUGACGUCAAGUCCUCAUGGCCCUUAUGACCAGGGCUUCACACGUCAUACAAUGGUCGGUACAGAGGGUAGCCAAGCCGCGAGGCGGAGCCAAUCUCACAAAACCGAUCGUAGUCCGGAUUGCACUCUGCAACUCGAGUGCAUGAAGUCGGAAUCGCUAGUAAUCGCAGGUCAGCAUACUGCGGUGAAUACGUUCCCGGGUCUUGUACACACCGCCCGUCACACCAUGGGAGUGGGGGAUACCAGAAGUAGGUAGGGUAACCGCAAGGAGUCCGCUUACCACGGUAUGCUUCAUGACUGGGGUGAAGUCGUAACAAGGUAGCCGUAGGGGAACCUGCGGCUG
rnacentral:rRNA from 1 species